CGGGAUGUAGCCUAGUGGCUAAGGCGUCUGGUUUGGGACCAGAAGAUCGGGGGUUCAAAUCCCUCCAUCCCGACCU
rnacentral:tRNA from 2 species